rnacentral:lncRNA from 1 species
GUGCGUUGGUCUCCCCGGGCAACUGCUUGCCCUGCGCCACCGAGCCUCCCGGAUUUAAAGCGGCAGGAGCUGGUUAGCCGGAUAGAAUGUAAUCCACCCGCCUUGGCCUCCCAAAGUGCUGGGAUUACAGGUGUGAGCCACCAUGCCCAGCCAGAAACUGCCACUUUUAAACCAUCAGAUCUCAUUGAGAACUCCCUCACUAUCACGAGAACCGCAUGAGGGAAACCACCCCCAUGAUCUGAUCACCUCCCACCAGGUCCUGCCCUCAACAUGUGGGGAUUACAAUUCAAGAUGAGAUUUGGGUCAGGAAACAGAGCCAAACCAUAUCAAGAGCCUCUGGUAACCACUGUUCUACUCAAUACUUCUAUGAGGUGAACUUCUUUGGAUUCCACAUAUGAUCAAGAUCAUGAGGAAGGAGGAGCAAGUCUUCUUUGUCAUGCUAUUAAGAAAAUACCCAGAGUCACAGCACCAUGAUCUCCUUGUGAAGCAGAACAAGUAAUAUAAAACUGAUCUAAAGAGGCCUCCCCUCUACUCUUAUCUGUCUGGUCGAGUCAUUUGGGUCCAAGUGGGCACCAUUGUGGGAGGGUGGGAGGACUCAUCACUGGGGGCCCAGGCAUCAUUGGCAUGUGGCCUCCUGUGUUAGUUUGUUCUCAUGCUGCAAAUAAAGACAACUUGAGACUGGAUAAUUU